rnacentral:tRNA from 1 species
UGGCUCAGAGGUUAAGGCGUCUGCCUGCAAUGCAGGAGACCUGGGUUCAAUCCCUG